GACGAACGCUGGCGGCGUGCUUAACACAUGCAAGUCGAACGGACAGGCCCUGAUUUUGUGGGGUGCUCGAGUGGCGAACGGGUGAGUAACACGUGUGUAACCUGCCCUUGUCUGUGGGAUAACAUCUGGUAACUGGGGCUAAUACAGGGUAGGAGCUCCUGCUCCGUGGUGGGGGUUGGAAAGUGUCGGCGGUUGGGGAUGGACUCGCGGCUUAUCAGCUGGUUGGUCGGGUAGUGGCUUACCAAGGUUUUGACGGGUAGCCGGCCUGGGAGGGUGACCGGCCACAAUGGGACUGAGAUACGGCCCAGACGCGAACGGGAGGCAGCAGUGGGGAGUAUUACACAGUGAGCGGAAGCCUGAGGCGACAACGCCGCGUGCGGGAUGACGGGCUACGGGUUGUGAACCGCUUUCGCCUGUGACGAGGCGUGAGUGACGGUAAUGGAUAAAGAAGCACCGGCUAACUACGUG
rnacentral:rRNA from 1 species